rnacentral:misc_RNA from 1 species
GAAAACGGGUAAUGCUGGGCCUGGAAUUUGCACAUAUAUUGGCCUUUUGUGCCCAAAAGUGACAGAUUAUGAGCAUAGAAACAUUGUAUGAUGUUUUUUUUUAUAUAAAUUUUUUAAGGCAUUAAAAUUAAUGAAACUGAACUAUUUGGUUUGAGACCAGAACAUUAUACUGAAGGGAUUUCUUCCUUAUAGGUUGCCUCUUUAAGAGAGUUUUCUUUAUGCCGUAUGCUCAUGUGAAUUUCCA